rnacentral:tRNA from 1 species
AGUCAUUUAGCUAUAUAAGUAAGCGUUUUGAAAGCGUUAGAAAGG